GUGUCCCACCCUGACACGCCGGUUCCGAUGCGCCAGCACCACCCGCUUGGCAAUCGCUCGUUACGUUUUACGGAUC
rnacentral:sRNA from 2 species